GUACCGACAUUGACAAGAUUCGCCACUAAAAUGCCAAUUGUGAUGGCCAUUUGAAAGCCCAUGUUCAGAGCACCUCUGAUUUUGGUUGGAGCCAUUUCAGAAAGGUAAACUGGCACAGACUGCACGCCAAAAAACAUACCUGAUUCGCAAAUCCAACACCCACACCAAGCAGCAAACGGCCAAUGAUGAGCAGCACAAUGCUAUUGGCAACACCAUUAAGGAUGGAGCCAAUCAAGAAUGAAAGACCUCCAAAAAACAUGGAUGGUUUUCGGCCAAAUUUCCGGGUGAUGAUCGAGGCACCAAAGGAUGCCACCAGAGCAGCCAGGUAAAGAGAAGAGGGAAAUCCCCAAGUUGCUAGGAAGGGUGGGAGGAGAUGUUUCAAGUUGGAGGAUGUUUCCCGAUGAUCACAUUAUGCAGAUUCAACUGGUAAAACUUGGCGGAUCAGUCCUGAUGAUGUGAGUUUAUUAGGAAAUGCCUAUAGAUUCCAUUCACUCUAUAAUUGUUAUAAAAUAUAUUGUAUAUGAAUCUCAUAAUCAUGCUCUAAAUAUAUUCUUAUUUAUAAAUAUUG